rnacentral:rRNA from 1 species
AUUAGCUAGUAGGUGGGGUAACGGCUCACCUAGGCGACGAUCCCUAGCUGGUCUGAGAGGAUGACGCAGCCACACUGGAACUGAGACACGGUCCAGACUCCUACGGGAGGCAGCAGUGGGGAAUAUUGCACAAUGGGCGCAAGCCUGAUGCAGCCAUGCCGCGUGUAUGAAGAAGGCCUUCGGGUUGUAAAGUACUUUCAGCGGGGAGGAAGGGAGUAAAGUUAAUACCUUUGCUCAUUGACGUUACCCGCACAAGAAGCACCGGCUAACUCCGUGCCAGCAGCCGCGGUAAUACCGAGGGGUGCAAGCGUUAACUCGGAAUUACUGGGCGUAAAGCGCACGCAGGCGGUUUGUUAAGUCAGAUGUUGAAAUCCCCGGGCUCAACCUGGGGAAACUGCAUCUGAUACUGGCAGAGCUUGAGUCUCGUAGAGGGGAGGGUAGAAUUCCAGGGUGUAACGGUGAAAUGCGUAGAGGAUCUGGAGGAAUACCGGUGGCGGAAGGCGGCCCCCCUGGACGAAGACUGACGCUCAGGCUGCGAAAGCGUGGGGAGCAAACAGGAUUAGAUACCCUGGUAGUCCACGCCGUAAACGAUGUCGACUUGGAGGUUGUGCCCUUGAAGCGUGGCUUCCGGAGCUAACGCGUUAAGUCGACCGCCAUGGGGAGUACGGCCGCAAGGUUAAAACUCAAAUGAAUUGACGAGGGGCCCGCACAAUCGGUGGAGCAUGUGGUUUAAUUCGAUGCAACGCGUAAAAUCUUACCUGGUCUUGACAUCCACAGAAGUUUUCAGAGAUGGAUAAGGUGUCUUCGGGAACUGUGAGACAGGUGCUGCAUGGCUGUCGUCAGCUCGUGUUGUGACAUGUUGGGUUAAGUCCCGCAACGAGCGCACCCCUUAUCCUUUGUUGCCAGCGGUCCGGCCGGGAACUCAAAGGAGACUGCCAGUGAUAAACUGGAGAAAAGUGUGGGUGAUGACAAUCAAAUCAUGGCCCUUACGACCCGGGCUACACCCGUGCUUCAAUGGCGCAUACAAAGAGAAGCGACCACGCGACAGCAAGCGGACUUCAUAAAUCUGCCGAAGUCCGGAUUGGAGUCUGCAACUCGACUCCAUGAAGUCGGAAUCGCUAGUAAUCGUGGAUCAGAAUGCCACGGUGAAUACGUUCCCGGCCCUUGUACACACCGCCCGUCACACCAUGGGAGU